rnacentral:rRNA from 1 species
UACGGAAGGCAGCAGUGGGGAAUAUUGCACAAUGGGCGAAAGCCUGAUGCAGCUAUGCCGCGUGUAUGAAGAAGGCCUUAGGGUUGUAAAGUACUUUCAUCGGGGAGGAAAAAACAAAACUAAUAAUUUUAUUUCUUGACGUUACCCGAAAAAGAAGCACCGGCUAACUCCGUGCCAGCAGCCGCGGUAAUACGGAGGGUGCUAGCGUUAAUCAGAAUUACUGGGCGUAAAGAGCACGUAGGUGGUUUUUUUAAGUCAGAUGUGAAAUCCCUGGGCUUAACCUAGGAACUGCAUUUUGAAACUGAAAUACUAGAGUAUCGUAGAGGGAGGUAGAAUUCUAGGUGUAGCGGUGAAAUGCGUAGAUAUCUGGAGGAAUACCUGUGGCGAAAGCGGCCUCCUAAACGAAUACUGACACUGAGGUGCGAAAAGCGUGGGGAGCGAAACAGGGAUUAGAUACC